GGCAGCACAUAUCCCCAAAUUGAAAAAUUGUAAUGACAUAGAAAAGAUUAGCAUGGCCGCUCUGCAACAAAGACACACGAAUUUAUGAAGCAUUUCAUAAUUUC